rnacentral:lncRNA from 1 species
CUCUUGACAAUGCUCGGUUCCCUGAUUGCAUGUGGAGAGCAAAAUGGAACGCAAUUGCUGGGAUCCAUAAGCUGAAGAAUCGCUGGGAUGCGUGGGAUGCGGAUGGUGCCGAGACGCUCAUGAAUGGCUGGAACGGAGGAAGAAGCGGGCUGCUGGGAGGCGCUGAUCACGGGCUCGGGCAGACGCUGUGAAGGAGGCUUGUGAACGGAUUGGAGGUGAAGCGGAAUAGGUGGAGGGGCGCGAUCUCUUCCAGACGACCGCUGGGAAGAUUCACGGGAUGCUGGGAGAUGAUCACGGGCUGAAGCAUGGGAGUGUUGAUCGGGUUGUGAGGCUAAGAAGGAGGAGAACGCGGACGAGACGGAUGCCAGAGGUGAUCGCGGAUGCGGACGACGUGCAGAUGCUGGGAAGAUGCUUGAAACGGGUUGCUGGGAAGGAGGAGGGCGCUGAUCACGGCUGGGAUGAUGGAGAAAUGAAGCCGCGGACGCUGUGGAGGAGGCGGUGAUCGCACGGACGGCUGAAGAAGAAGGAACUUUGAUCACAGAAGAAUUGCUUCGCGUGUGGAGGAAGCGGUCGGACGCGUGGGAAACGCUGACUCACUUGCGGGAAGAUGGGUUGGAUGCGGGCUCCAUCGAAAUGAGAUGCACAGAUUACUAAAAAUUGGUUGCAGUGAAUUGGACGGCUGAACUCAACCUUCUUCUAGCGUGCAACUGGGAUUG